rnacentral:rRNA from 1 species
UACGGAGGGUGCAAGCGUUAUCCGGAUUCACUGGGUUUAAAGGGUGCGUAGGUGGGCAGUUAAGUCAGUGGUGAAAUCUCCGGGCUCAACCCGGAAACUGCCAUUGAUACUAUCUGUCUUGAAUAUCGUGGAGGUAAGCGGAAUAUGUCAUGUAGCGGUGAAAUGCCUAGAUAUGACAUAGAACACCAAUUGCGAAGGCAGCUUACUACCCGAAUAUUGACACUGAGGCACGAAAGCGUGGGGAUCAAACAGG